CCAGCAGCCGCGGUAAUUCCAGCUCCAAUAGCGUAUAUUAAAGUUGUUGCAGUUAAAAAGCUCGUAGUUGGAUUUCUGGGCUCGGUCUUUGGUCCGUCGAAAGAUGUGUACUGACGGCCGGGUCCUUUCCUCUCGACGUUCACGGGUGCUCUUAACUGAGUGUUCGUGGGACUCGGGACCUUUACUUUGAAAAAAUUAGAGUGUUCAAAGCAGGCCUUCGCUUGAAUACAUUAGCAUGGAAUAAUGGAAUAGGACUUGGGUUCUAUUUCGUUGGUUUUAGGACCGAAGUAAUGAUUAAUAGGGACAGUUGGGGGCAUUAGUAUUUAAUUGUCAGAGGUGAAAUUCUUAGAUUUAUGAAAGACUAACUACUGCGAAAGCAUUUGCCAAGGAUGUUUUCAUUAAUCAAGAACGAAAGU
rnacentral:rRNA from 1 species